UACGAAGGGGGCUAGCGUUGUUCGGAAUUACUGGGCGUAAAGCGCACGUAGGCGGACAUUUAAGUCAGGGGUGAAAUCCCAGAGCUCAACUCUGGAACUGCCUUUGAUACUGGGUGUCUUGAGUAUGGAAGAGGUGAGUGGAAUUCCGAGUGUAGAGGUGAAAUUCGUAGAUAUUCGGAGGAACACCAGGGGCGAAGGCGGCUCACUGGUCCAUUACUGACGCUGAGGUGCGAAAGCGUGGGGAGCAAACAGG
rnacentral:rRNA from 1 species